UUAAAUGAAAAUUGUAUGGAGUUGGACAAAACUUCCCUUUGUUUGCCACUAGGGGCGCUGUUCCAACUCCAUACAAAUUGGAGUUA
rnacentral:pre_miRNA from 1 species